CUCAGUUUUAGAACAUGGACAUUAUCAAACAUGGACGCCUCAGCUUUUUAAUAUCACUGCUCUGCAUACAAGGUCUAACUGAUGGAAGUGAUGUCACCCAGACUCCGGACAGACUCUGGAAAAACACGACCGACAGUGCAACAAUAAGCUGCAGUCACACCAAGGGUGCUGGCUACUUCCAGAUGUACUGGUACAGACAGCUGCCAGGAGAAACAAUGAAACUAGUAGUUUUCACAACAACUGCCAAAGAAAGAUCAUGAUUUUGGAGAGUUCAGCAAAGAGAAAUUCUCAGCCACCAAGACUGAAGCUGAGAAUGGGACAUUCACAGUGAACAAUCUGAAGCCAGAAGAUAAAGGCUUGUAUUUCUGUGCUGUGAGUGAACACAGUGAUACAGACACAUUCAACAGCUGAACAAAAACCCCAGAGCACCGUUGGCUCUAUUAGUGAGUCUAUUUAUCUGCUGUACUGUAGGGGGACCUCAAGUACAAUCUACGGCUGGAUCCUAAUAUUCGUCACAAUGAAUAAAAGACUGUCUUUAUCUGUAGGGGGAGCUCUAGACACGUAGACUGUGUUAAGAUUUUUGGUCAGUAUUCAGUGUAAUUCAUGGCUUUUACACUGGAGAGU